rnacentral:rRNA from 1 species
GAUGAACGCUGGCGGCGUGCCUAAUACAUGCAAGUCGAGCGAAUGGAUUAAGAGCUUGCUCUUAUGAAGUUAGCGGCGGACGGGUGAGUAACACGUGGGUAACCUGCCCAUAAGACUGGGAUAACUCCGGGAAACCGGGGCUAAUACCGGAUAACAUUUUGAACCGCAUGGUUCGAAAUUGAAAGGCGGAUGCGGAUGUCACUUAUUGAUGGACCAGGGUCGCAUUAGCUAGUUGGUGAGGUAACGGCUCACCAAGGCAACGAUGCGUAGCCGACCUGGGAGGGUGAUCGGCCACACUGGGACUGAGACACGGCCCAGACUCCUACGGGAGGCAGCAGUAGGGAAUCUUCCGCAAUGGACGAAAGUCUGACGGAGCAACGCCGCGUGAGUGAUGAAGGCUUUCGGGUCGUAAAACUCUGUUGUUAGGGAAGAACAAGUGCUAGUUGAAUAAGCUGGCACCUUGACGGUACCUAACCAGAAAGCCACGGCUAACUACGUGCCAGCAGCCGCCGUAA